CUCAUAGCUCUGUUACUCAGUACGAGGAUCCAGCCGCUGCUGGCUCACGUUCACCCAUGUGGUGCUUCGAAGAACCAUGUGAUCCCACUUGGGUAAACACGGAGGAACUAUCUUUGAAGGAACUGGAGUCGCAGGGGCGAAGGUUAACGACCCUGGUCGAGGCGACUUCAUGACUGUCGGUUAUCGGUUUGGCUUGCGGUGCUUAUGCCUUCUGCGACGCGGUGCGGCUAUUUGACCGCAGGGUGGCCGCGAGAAAAAGGUAAGCCCUAUGCCAACAACGCUUAAUUUCUCUCUGGAUUGAAUUGAUUUGUUUUUGAACCGCCCCUACAACGAGCUCUGCUAAUCCAUGUGCACUCUAUAGCGGCCAACUCUUCGGAUGCGUAGUUUUGUUGUUUUACUCUGAACGUCAAUGGCAACAUCAGUAUACCACACAGCGGCAUGUCUGCUCUACGCUUUCGCUAGAUUUGCUUCUGUCCUCGUUUUUUUUUUCUUCCGUUGUACACUUCCCCCUUUUCAUAAAGAAUGGCGCCUUUGUCGUGUUUGCCUCCGCACGUUGGUUGCAGGAUUGGACCUGGUCGAUUUGGAAUUGAAGCUCCGCUCCUAGUGUCAUCGUCUCGUGGCGAGGGGAAUUCGAAGCAGGUCAGUUUCUGGUGCCCGGUCAGAUCGGUCCAUUGGUUCCGUCACCUGCGUUCGGUGAUUUCAGAUUUUGAUGGCUCGCCCGUGUGGUCUCCUGGAUCUGUGUUCCUGAUAGAGCGCUCUCUUCCUAUGAGUUUUCGUCAUCCGUUAAUAUGAGGUGGAUUCGAAGCCCUGGUGGAUUCUUAUUAGCAGCUGAUCUCGCUUUUGUAUGUGGUUUUUAGGCUAACCACAGGCGUGUGUUUUGCUCCUUUAGAUGCAGGAUGGAGUCAAUCUCAAUCUCCCUCGAUUUACAUUCUUAUUUGUAUGCACAGUACAAUUUUGUCUCUGGUGAUUCUGAUUUGUAUUUGGAUAAUCAAUCUCAACCUCCAUUAGAUUUACUUUCUUUCGUAUGCACAGUACAAUUUCAUCUCUAGAUAUUCUGAUUUGGAUUUACUGGUGGUUCUACAGAAAUUUGAAUUAUACAGCUUCGGGGGAGAUCCUAUGUCGCUUCAGCAAGGGCAUUCCCUUCUGUGUUUGGAACUCUGGAUAAAGAGCCUCUCAAUUUAAUUUCUUUGUCUCCACAUAUCAAUUGUAGUCUACAACAAUAUUUCUGAUUUAGAGUUUUGUUGGUGGUUCUCCAGAAAUUGGAAUUCUAGAGCUCAACGGAAGGUCGUAUUGAUGGGGCUUGCACUUCCUUCCUAGUUUCGAUAAUUGAGUCCCUCGAUUUUAUUUCUUCGUCUGACAUUCACUUAGUCUCCAACAGACAACAGUUCUGAUUUGGAUUAGUUCGUGGUUCUCCGGAAGUUGGAACUAUACAGCUUCGUGGUUCUAGUUCGCUUCAUCAUGGUCCCGGCGGUUCCUUUUCGCGACUCAACCAUUCCCAUUUCUUCUAUUAUUGAACUUCCAAAUAUUACCUUAGUCGGUAAUUCUCAGCUUCUUGCAGACACUGGCUUGAAGAGACAUAAUUGCAGUUCGGAACUGCUGUUAUUAUUAUCAGACCUUCCCAGCCAUGACAAACUUUAUUUUCCCAUCACUUUUAUGCAUUCUUUAGCUGUUUAAGCAGCACAACUUCCCCCACUUUUUUUUUUUUACAGAAAGGUCUUCCUCAUUGCAGGUCAUAUUUGUUGAGUUCAAGUUGAACCUAAUGCUGAUUUGCUGAGUCAAAAUUUUCAGAUCUCCUAAAUCUACUAUCUUAUUUCAUCAUAAAUUACAUAACCAAUAAUAUAGUGAAUAUUUUAAAUUUAGAUUGAUCUGCAAAGGUGGAUCCUUCUAAGGAUGAUCUGGAGCUACUAAUGAAUGAUACUAUCCUACAACAGAUAAACCUGGCUCUAUUCUUAUCUCUUACAUUCCAAUUUCGAGUAUUUUGUUCUGUUUUUACUUUGUUUAGCUGCUUUACAUAGCUUUGAUUUCGGUUUUUGCCUAAUACCCUUACCGUGGUUGCAGAUUUUGCCCAGGCCAUGCUUGAGUUACUCGAAAUCUGUUGGAUGGUUUGCGCUUUCUCUCUGGUUCAGUUUAUUGUUUGUAUUCCUGACCCACUUUGUUGGUUGUAGGUUUUGGAGUUCCAUGAACCUAUAGCAGAAUCUGUGCUCUUCUAGUGGAGACAGGUCAGUUUUUUUUUUUUGAGAGGAAACUGUAGGAGAGGCUCCGACAGUGAAUAAAUUAAAAUACAAAAUAUUUACAAGGAGGUCAAAGACCCCAGGACACAAAGACACACUGCCCAUACACACACACAAGCAGAAAGAACACAUAGCUAACGGUUCCCAUCCAACGAGGAGAGCCAGUCAAGAAUAGCAAUCCUAUGAGCUUCUUUAGUCCUAAGGCUAUUAGUGAGCAACUCCUGCUUAAAGUUAACAAGCCAUCGAUGAGCAGAAGGAGGAUCCCUUUCAAAGAUAAGAUCAUUGCGCUGCUUCCAUAUGUGCCAAGCAGCACAAAUGAAGAUAAGCAUAAACCCAGGUUCUCUGGAGGAAUUAUUAGCAAUCGCCAUCCUAUCUAUGGUCAUGCUCUGGCAGAGCUGGUAUCUUCUCCACCCAAAAAUACUAUGCUUCAUGUUUUCAAGGUCUGCAAACAGAUAUGGUCUUAGGAUGGAUUUGGCGGAGUAAAUGUGUUCCCAAGCUCAAAGUAUUUGCCUGGCUGCUGCUCAAUGCAAAGCUCACAGGUCAGUCACAGUUGUUUGGUCCUUUGUGUUCGCCACGUCCACGUUUAGUUCCAGGAGACUAGAUCUGGUCUGGAAAUGUGCUCUUCUCAUGUGGAGUCAGGUCAGUCACGGUUAUUCGGUUCAUGGUUCAUUUGUGUUGUGCUGCCUCCAUACGUCUGUUGCAGGAGAUUAGAUCUGGUCUGGAACUGCUUGUGGUAUGUUGAUCAAAUGAGGUUGAUCAUGAGGUGGAUUUUAGGCUCUGUGUUGGUUCUUAUCGUAACAACUGAUCUUGCUUGUGGUAUUUUGUCUGUGCUCCUUCAAAUGCAGGCAGUGAUGGUUGUGGAUGCUUGAGUCAAAGGGUUGAGGUUUGCUUACUGUUCAUUCUUAUUUUAUUGGCUAUGGUUCUGUAUCUGGUAAGCUCAUAUAUGUGAGCUGGUGUUGGAUUAUGCUGAAUUGGAUCGUUGAUCAUAGGGUCGGAGAACAUGAACUUGCUUGGAUAACCACCCCACCUCUUUGUCUGCACAGUUCAAUAUUGGUAUAUGAUAAAUCUGAUAUGUAUUGUUGGUUCUCUAGAAAAUUGGACUUAGAUGACACUCCAGGAUGUCUUAUUUUCCUACCGCAUGUUACCAGCAGUUCCUUUCGUGACUUCAACAAUCUUUUCCAACUUAUUUUUCAACUCGAAUUCGCUGCCUUUGUCAGUAAUUCCGUGCUAUUGCAGAUGGUGAAACUUGGAUGAGAUAUAAUCUGGAACCGUUGCUUUUAUCUGAUUGUUCUCUGCCAGUCUACCAGGCUUAAUCCCUCACUAUUUGAUGCCUGAUUUAUCUGCUUAAGCAGCUUCCCUCCCCCAAAUUACAAAAUCAUAGAACGGUUGCUCAUUGCAGGUCCUAGCUGACGAUCCAACACUCCAACCUGAUGAUGUAGCUGGGUUAUAUCUGUUUGCAGAUAUUCUGAACCUACCUUCUCCGUUCAUUCAAAACUUAACCUAUAUAAGGUCAUGCAGAGGCAAUAUAUGAACUCACAGAUUUUGAUUUGCACAUGUUCAAGAUUAGAAGUGUGCUCUGGAGCCUCAGUCUAGACGUCUCAACCUACAACCCCCCCAAAAAACUCAGUAUACUCUAUCAAAGCUCUUAUUUUAAGCCUUUAUUAAAUUUUUUGCUUUGCCUUUGUUUCUUAUUGCUCGUAGCUUCGAUGCAAGUUUUUUAGCCUCUGCCUUUCUGUGGUUGCUGUUAGCCACUAGAAAUCUGUUAUACUGUGGUUUGCAAUCUAUCCAUCCAUGGUUCAGUAUCUUAUAUUACUCUGCAUCUGUGUUCUUGCUAGUGUGGUUUGCAAUUUAUAUAUCCAUGGUUUCAUUUCUCAUAUCUACUCUGCAUCUCCAUGUUCUUGUUAGUUUCCUGGGCAUGUUGUUUCCAGUAUAUGUUUUCAAAGGGGGAUGGCUGCCUGUGUCCUGUAUGAUGAUUCAGGUCAGUGUUCCUGGCAGUCUGUUCAGUUCCUCCAUCGAUGGCUAAAUAAUUCCCAAUGUGAAUUUGGCACCCUGGACUAUUUCGUACUCUUGUUACCCCUCUAGAUAUAGGAGAGUACUUUUGGAGAUUGGACAAAGAGGAUUCGUUAGUUCAUGUCUGGUCUUUCUUUUGGUAAUAAAAAAUUGAUCUUGUCGCCCUCUAGAGAUAGGACAGUACUCGUGGAGAGUAGACAAAGAGGUUUCGUUAGUCCAUGUUUGUUCUUUCUGUCAGACAAUAUCUGUUGUUGUGGCAACCGUGAUUUGAAUUGUGUUGUUCAGAUCCACAUGGUUGAAUUCUUGAAGAUUUGAAGUUGUUGAAGCUUGACCGAACUUGUACAUUAUUGAAUUGGAGUCUGCGAUGCUUCUUGUUCCUUACUUGAUCUGUUGACGUGAGCAGUUUGAUUCUGUGCGACAAUGAUUUGGAUCAUGUGGUUGUUCUUCAGCGACUUCUAUGCUGCGAAUUCUUUUGGGCCUCAGUAAUUGGAAUGGGCUGACGGUUAGGAGUUACUUCUUCGCGAUUGAUAAUCUUCUCAAACUUCUCAUUGAUAAUUUACAUUCCAAGCAUUGUGUAAUGCUUGCAAGUAAUUCUCAGUUUCUGCAGAUCUGGCAUACAUCGAGGAAAUCAAUACUGAUGGAUAUGAAUGCAUGGCUUCGCUUAACCAGGCUUAUUCAUCUCCUUCCUAUGUUUUGCAUGUUUUUUUGUUGUUGACCGGCUUUCUCCAAUAUGGUAGACUUCGUUCAUUGCAGGCCUAGUUGAUAAUUCUCCAAGAGGAACUAAUCUAGUCAUGCAUGCUUCGUUUGUCAAUUACUUGUAUCUUAGCUGUUGCAAGUGCAGUAAUUCUCAGAGGAAAGGCUUGAUUAGAAAGUCGUAACAUUCAGCAUGGAGAAGUUUCUUAUAACUGCCAUAAAGUUUUUAUUGGCGUCCAGCAACUGGAUUUUUAAGUAUGGAUUGUGGACUAGAGCUUUCCAUAUGUGGAUUUAUUCAAUGGAUUUCUUCUCAUGACAAGUGAUCAGUUCAGACUCGCAUCUUUAAUAUGUUCAGAAGCAGCUUACAUUUGCAUAAUAUCUCAGCACCAUUAAGAUGUGCAUGCUCCGUGACCGUGACAGUCUUUCAGUAUACCUGAGAAGUUCGCCAAAAACGAUAGGAAAAUCUUUGAGAUAAGCUCUUGCUCACUUGAGAUGUGCUGAUCUCAUCUGAAACAGAAGUCCUAAAGCAGAAAGAUCAGUUCGUACCAAAUUCAUUAGCAGAUUAUCUUGAAAUGUUGAUUUGGCUAUUGGUUACUAAAUUAUUUCUGGAAGCUGGUUUUCAUUCUAAUAUUUGACUGCUACAAUCUUCAAAAUUUGUGCACUCGGCUAUGUAUUUAUUGCAGAAAAUCUUGUAGCCUGUGGAUCACUUUGUAGGAAGUAAAUAUGACAUGUGUAAAUGGAGAAAAAGAUCUCCACGGUUGAUAAUACUUGAAUUUAUUUGGGAUCAGAGUCAGAUUUGUCAGUCGAUACAUUGUUGUUCAUGUUCAUCACAGUACUCUUGUUUCCUGAUUUAACUUUUCCUGGUCAGUUCUUCGCUUCGUAAAGAUUGCUUUUUGUAGACCUGCUCCCACCCAGUAGCUUGCUGCUUUGCUUGCCCUCUUCACUUUAUUGAUUUCUAGUGUCAAAACAUUAAUUAGUAAUUAAUUUAAAGAUGAUUAACAUUAGUGACAUUGUAGCUGGAUAUAUUUUUGAACUGCAAAGAGGUUAGGAGUUACACCUCAACAAGGCUGAGUUGAAAAUCCUGGAUUGGAAGCUUGAACAAAUAGUUUGCAUGCACAUCCUUUUUGCACUUGCUUGAACAUGGAAUUGAUUUUUCAUGAGAUUUUUAUUCUCAUUGGUGCUGCUUCAGGGGGGUCUGGAUUACAGGAUCUUCAUACAUAUCUGCUUGGUUUACUUCUAGUGGUGGCUUGCAUCUAAACUCAGAAAUUGUCCUUUAUAUGUCUUUCUUAUCAUCUGCGUACAUCCUGGAUUUCCUAAGACAUUUCUGUUCGCAUAUCUUAGGGCCUUCCAACGUUAUGUUCUAUCUCUUAUGGCCUAGUGAUGAAGAUAAAUCAUGUUAUGUUCGUGUUUUCAAGAUUAAAGAUUAGGAUCAACCCUCACCCCCUGGAUUGGAGUAGUUAAUUUCAGUCACGUUCUAAAAUCUAUAGCCUUCUUUGUCUAUGUUGGAAAUCCAAUUAUUGCAUGCACUAACAACUUGCUUGUGCUCCCAUGGCUGUCUUUGUUACCUUGUUUGUGUGUGUGUGUGUUGUGCGCGCCCGCGCGAAUAUUACCUUUGCUUGAUUGUGUGAUUUGUACUUUUCUGAAUGUUCAGUUGGUAAUGUUUGCUAAUUUGUGUUUUGUAUUGUUGCAGUUUAACAAUGCCUUUGCCGGUCCCAAGCCCAGAUGAGAAAAUGUGGAGGGAACUUCUUUCAGCAUUUUCAUGGUCUCCAAAUAUUUUCAAUCGAGUAAUAGUGGAUGAAGUUCACGUAAUGUGGUAGCAUAUGGUUCAAACUUUGGAAUGCACCUUGCCAUGAUGGGAAUCAAAAUUUAUUUAUUCCCAAGGUAAGUGGUCGCAGUUAGAACUGAACUCCACUCCAGGAAGUGACUGAUUCUUUUCUGAAGAUGUAACAUUAGUGCAAGGCAUUACAUAGCAGGCCUCAUCUAAGGUUCAAGAACGGCUGCAAGCCAUUCUAUGGAAAAAAGCAAAAGGGACACUGAUCUUUGGUCAAAGUUUGACAUAAAAUUCCUCGUGGGCCUUAUAAACCAAAAGGGAGGGAGUACAACAUUAUAUUUUUCCAUGGAAAAAAGACCCAAAUUAUAAAUGAUGGGACCUUGAACCUGUGAUGCUACUCAGGAUAACGAUGCCAAAACUAAAUUAAAUAUUGUGUCUAUUUAAAUCUUGCUUCUUUAGUUAACGUUCUUCCGAAGUAAAACUAUAGAAUAUUUUUCCCAUGGAAAAAAGACCCAGAUUACAAAUGAUGGUUGUUCAGGUGAUGGGACCUUGAAGGCUUGAACCUGUGAUGUUAUUCAGGAUAACGAUGCCAAAUCUAAAUUAAAUACUGUAUCUAUUUUAAUGUUGCUUCUUUAGUUUACGUUCUUCCGAAGUAAAACUAUAGGAUAUUUUUCCCAUGGAAAAAAGACCCAGAUUAUAAAUGAUGUUGGUUCAGGUGAUGGGAUCUUGAAGGCUUGAACCUGUGAUGCUACUCAGGAUAACAUGCCAAAACUAAAUUAAAUAUCGUAUCUAUUUUAAUAUUGCUUCUUUAGUCAUUAUGGAUCGGAGGGAGUAAUAUUUUGGAUGUGCUUUGGCCACAAAUACCAACUUGUUAAGAGGCAACUCAUCGCCAUUAAUAUUCCUAUCUUAAUCUUUUGUUUAACUAUUUUAGAAGAUACUACUGGGAUAUCAUCCCUUAUUUGGAUGCCUAGGGCUGCGCCCCCUAUAGGGAUGCAGGCCCAUGACAUUACACCCCCCACCUUUUUUAGCAGCUCGUCCUCGAGCUGCGGUGGUGGCCACGACUGAAGUCCUAGGAGGCCCCAAGCUAAUGUCCGGCCACGGCUGUCAUGGUUGUGCAGCACCUUUGUCUUUGGAGGAGGAUACAUCCAUACCCCUGCUGCUUUUGGACGAAGGGACUUCUCCCUUGCGCCUGGGGGCGGGAACCUCCAUGCUGCUGCAUUACGUCUCACUGCAUUUUUCUGCACCCGCCCUGAGAGGCGCUUCUUCCCUGCUGCUGGACAACCAAGGCGCUUGUUGCUGAUCCUUGCAAGCUUGAAGACUGUCACAGCAACACCACCUCCCGUACUUGACCUCAUACCCUACCGGACUUGACGAGCUGCUAGUUGGCGAAGGCGUUCUACAAGGCCAACACGCGGCUGCCGCAGGUUGCACUACCGCCAAGGCUGACUUUAUUCUUGCUUGCCUCAUGACUAUUACAGGGGGCCCUUUUAUAGGGAAGACUCGACUUAACCUCCAAGAAACUAACAAACCAUAUCUUAAUAUUCCUAUCUUAAUCUCUUGUCUAACUAAUUUAGAAGAUACUACUGGGACAUCAUCCCUUAUUUGGAUACCUAGGGCUGCACCCCCUAAAGGGAUGUAUGCCCAUGACGGGUACAUAUUUCUUGCAAUUGAAUCUUUGUAAUCUGUUCACCAUGUGAACUUCAAAACAAGAACAAAAUUAGGCACCACCAACUCAACUUUUGUUUGAGAAAUAUGGCAGUGACUGAUCUCUUUAAAUAAAUGAUGUGUAGGCUUAUGUUUCUCUAUUUCUUUCAAUACCUGUAUUACCUGCCAACAUAGAAGUUUUAUUGGUUAAUAAAAAAUAGGUUUUUGUGGACUGUGCUUGGCACAAAGGAUUUUUUUUGUUCUGUUCCUGUUUGGGUACCAGACUCAUGAGUAUGUAGGGCAAUUAUUGUAGAUUUUUGGGUUCUAUCUUCUGUCUUUCCAUGAAAGAAAAACUGUCAUCUUUCUGUGCCUUUCUCUACUCUAGAUGCUAAUGGGCAUUGGAUGCAACAAGAACAAUGUCAUAUUAAGUUGCUUCAAUUUUUAUGUGCUUGUUGUCAUGCUGAUAAGCAUUUCAAUAUAUGAUAAUGCACUCAUAUGCCAAUUUAAGUUCUGCACAUAUGCUUAAUGAGCUGCUCUUUAGCCUUGCAGGCCCAGGUAAACUACAUAUGCAUUCAUUGUGUAUAACCAAGUUUGCGGCCAUUAUCUAUGGCUAUGUCUACUGUUUCAGUCCAUAUAUUUGGCGAUGUGCCUUAGUGCCUUCUUCACCUCUUGUUGGUCUGCUUCAGGUACUUGCUUGUGUUUGUUCACAAUGAGGCCUAAUCAAAAUUUAAUUGCUUAAUAACUUAAUUGUCCAUGUUCUCAGUACGUAAUCAGGUCCAUUCUUUCCAUGUUAAAUGAGAUUACUGUUGUAUUGCCUAUAUUUUAUUACUAGAUCAUUGUCAUAAUGGAGUUUUUAUGUUAAUAUAUUAUUUUAGCUACCAAUAUUUCUAUGGAAUCUAUUAGUGCCCUAGCAGAUAUCAAUGCAUUUUAAUUGCAUCCAACACCACCCGGACGCUGAUUACUAUUGAGUAUUAUAUUACAUCAUGUUAAUAGUUUUUGAGAUUUGAUGCAGGACAAAAUCCAAGAUUGGAGAGCAACAACGCUCGUGUCGACAUCCAUUCUCUUCAUUGCAGUUAUGUUUUGGUUUAUUGGUAUGCUUUCUUAGUAUAGUAAUAAUAAUUUCAAAAUAUCUAGGCGGUAUCUGAUGUAUUCAAAUAUACUAAUUAAAAGAUUUUUAUAAAGCUUGCCACUCUAGGAGCACUAUUGUUUCAAUCUAUGGAGACUCUUUCCUGAAGUACAUGUCGCAUGCAUGCAUGCUGAGAAACCAAACCAAUCUUCCUCUGAGCUACUGCCUAACUAUUAUGUGCUUGGAGGGUGAGGUUAAUUUGAUUUGCACGAAAGUAACAAAGUAGGGUCUGGAUCAAUUUUUACCUGCUUCAGUUGCAGAUCUUCUAGCCUUAUUAGUUGUUACAUGCGAUAGAAUAUGUAAAGGAGUCCGGUGAAAUGCUGCCAUUGAUUAUAAGCAGGAAAUCAUGGAGUCUGGAUAUUUAAGGGUGGUGGAAUAGUACUAAAUAGACAUCAUUUUCAAGUUGAUUGUGACCUCCUGGACAAUGCAAUGAAGGACCAGUGUUGCCAUGAUAAUCUCCUGUUUUUCUGAACAAGUCCACACUGAAUUCUGCCAGGUUCUCAACUGAGGUUAGGUUUUGUAUGGUUCCUACAAAGUAAGCUGAUACUAAGGAUGGCGUGGUUCUAUUUGAAUCCUAUUCAGUAUUUAGUGCAUUUGGAUUUCUUUCAAUGUAGUGUAUCUUUCUUUUGAUCUAUUAAUACAUGACAGACCUUUCCUUGAUCUAGGGACCCAAAUAGAAUAUUCAGUACCUUUCUAUGCAGAAGUAUUCAGUUUUGAAAUGGAAGUCAGUGUGUGCCCAGAUGAAAGCACGUCGAAUGUACAGGCACUGCGAGAUAAUUUUGCACUUGUAACAUAGAUUUUUUUUAGUCAGUGUUAGCACAGUGUUUUUUUCAUCAGUAGAUAGCACGGAAAAGCAUUAUGAAUAACACAAAGCCAACUUGAUAAUGCAUAUUGCAUUGGUAGGGUACUCUUAACUUAAGCCAUGCUUAAUAAGCAGUCAAGUGCCUUUCCAUCUGUGUUUUUGAAAUGUAAUCUUGUCAAAGAACCAGUCUUUAGGUCCUGGAUUCAGCAUUAGCCACACCACUUGUGUCCAGACUAAACUGGCUUUUGAUAUAUCAAUUAUUUCACUCUCAGUUUCAUUAUUAUUCCCUUGUGAAUCCAUGUGUCCUUUUAUCCAUUUGCAGACUUUCACACAAUAUGGUAGAUAUGGAGACAUAGUUGAGCGGGUUCUUGUUUUAGUGUUGAAAUUAUAUUCAUGGUCGGAUCAUAAAACACACUUCUUGGAUUUGUUGAAAUUUCUGAUCUAUUUUAUAUGUGUCAGUCUUUUGUUUCACAUUUUAUUUUAACAGGAAGCAUGUAUCUUGUUUCUAGGGCUUAAGUUGUGGGAUGACGAAAUAUUUCUCUUCGAUCAAAAGGAAUUGAUGGGUCUUACCCUGCUCUGCAGACACCAAUUGGUGCCUCUUCAUUAAUAUUGUGCUUUCUCUUCUACCGGAAAGGAGCAAAAAAUUUCCUAUUUUGUUUGAAUAUUCUGCUGCCAAAAACUAUCAAUACAUGUCAGGAAUAUGUUUCCUGGUUUGCACACAUGAAAGUUGUGUUGGAUUGGGCUCACACUUGCCCUACCAAAAUUUGGCAAGCCAAAUAACUGGUUGUAGUUUUGGUUGGGCCAACUUUGGCCAAAAUAUUGAACUAAAGUUGGCUAAAUGAAAUUGGCUUGCCAAAUAGUUGGCCACCAUCCAAACAACUACCAAAUUUUGGUCAAUGACCAAAAAUUUAGCAUGACACCUCUUGGCACUGAACCAAACACACCCGAAUUUCUACUAAAUAAAGGUUGUAUCUUAUUUAUUUUGUGUUCUUUCUAAAUUUACUAGAUUUGAAGUUUCGGUCUUGAAAUAUAUGUGGCAGUUGUCGUUGGUAAGAUUUUGGAGCGAGAUAGCAUUGGUCUUGGAUAUGUUACAACUCAAGGUGAGCAUGUGGACAUGGUGAAAUUGUCACUGACCCAAUAAAAGUGUUCAGAGUUACCUUGGUAUAUGCUGCAAGGGGGACUGUCUACUAACGUAUGCUCAUGAUAAUUUUCAUUCAAUUUUUUUUUCUCACUGCUCUCAUGUCUCUUUUACAUUUCAUAUAUUGGAUUGACCUCUGUCCACAACUCCUGCCGCUUAUAUGUUUCUUUUCUAGAAUACACCGCUUAGAUGUUUUGAAAACGCCUGAAGAUUUAGCUUCCAGUCAACUAUGAUGCACUUUCAGCUAGGCCUGCAAGAGCAGCUUAUGUCUACUAUAUCAGUAUGCAGCAGCACACAUAGCUUUUUUACUGGCUUUAUCUAUCAAAAUAUGUACAUUACUAUAUCAGUUCAUUUCUUAGUUUAUUAUAACCAGUUAAUCUCCUGGUUUAGCGAUGACUCACCAUUUGCGCUCAGGUGGCGCGCGAAGGCACGCCCCAGCAUCUAGUACACAUUAGUUGGCAGCUACGAAUUAGGUUAUACAGAUUAGACUUUAUAGACAGCAGGCACAUGUUUGGUAUUCUAGAAUAUGCUUCUGUCUUUCUUGGUCCGUGGUAGUAGUAAUCAGCUUUCAAAAUGUUUCGCCUCGAGGUACUUGAUUUACUUUUGCAAAUAUACAGAUGCGCCACCAAUGAACAAUAGCACCUGUCAUUAGUAGAAUGUUUUCGCCUUCUACUGCUACGAUUAGACAAGGAGAUUGCAGUUACAAGUGUUGGUCUACUAAUAUCUAUCUGAUGACCAGAGGUUUAGAUGAUUUUAUUUGGUUCUUAAUCUGGGGAAGUGGGUUGGAAUUAUGGGUUAAACAGCUUAUCCAGAUUCUUUUAACGGUUCAAUGUGCCCUCUGGUGCUUCUUGGCUAUUCGAUUUGUUGAUGGUUGAUUCUACUACCUGAUGAUCAGAGGGUCUAAGUUUUCUAGCUAUUCAUCAAUUCAAAUGAAUGUUGGAUCUUAGCUAGCAAAAGAAGAGCUGUAUGGCCUACGUAAUGAAGGAUUUGAACAAUGAGGGUACUUCUUUAAGGCAAUCCAUUUGAUGAACUCAUUUACAGUAGUCACCAAUUGCUAUUAAACUUUCAAUCUUUCAUUAUUUUCGAUACAACAUGCUAGGUUAGUUAUGUUCUUCCUAUGCUCUAAGAAGUAAUGAACAUAACACUGUUUGAAGUAUUCUGAAUUCUUAGACAUGUAUAUUCUCUAGAUUAGUUAUGUUCUUCCAAUUUUUAUUCCCUUUUUUCUUCCAUAAAUUUAAAUCCAGUCUGGUGCACACUUGUGUAGGAUUAUUGGACAUGCCUUUAAUUUCCCCAUUCCAUUGUUUACAUAACUAACGAAAAUAAUCUAGAAGUGGAUGACUCAUAACUCGAUGUCAUCCAAACUUAUUUCUUUAUAAAACUGCGCUGCAUGUAGCUUUUCCGGUCUUAGUCAUAGCACUGGCGGUAAUUUCUACAAUUUUUGUGAUUUCUUUUAAUGAAGUUUGUGUUCUUUACACUUUUCUCCAUGUAGCUCUCUUUCUCAAAUUUUGCAGCUCUUUUUCUCUACUGGCUCAACAGAUUAUUUUGUAUGGUUAGGUAUUUUGGUUCGGGCAAAAACUAGCUGUUUUUAUCUGCUCUACAACAUGUUGAUAUGUGAUCUGGAAUGACUACAUACCAUGUCCGAACUGCAAUUCUACAACCUGGUGAUUGCAUUUACGUGGGUCCUAUAAUGGGCAUAUAACUGAAAUCAACUUCAUGUAAUCUUCCUAUGCUUCUAUCGGAUGCUUUCUUUCUUUGCAGAUCCUGUGGUCAUUCAGCUCUUUCUGACUAGCAUAAUAUGGUGAGAAGAUUGGCUUCUCCUUUCAUUCUGCCCAGUCCUAGAGCAUCUAAUAAUAACCUGGGGCCAUGCCUUUGGUGUAACAGACUGGUUUUUGGAGCUUCGAAAAACUUUUCCAUAGAAAUGAGAACCGAAAACUUUCGCUGCAUUUAACAAAGCUUAACUGAAUUUUAUAAAAAGGUUUGGUUUUAAAUUGAAUUAACACCAACUAGAAUAUAAAUCUGAUUUUCCUCCUGCCUGCGCUUACCGACGUCCUUCUCUUAUCUUUCCCUCCGAGCCAAAUCUUCAGUUGAAUGUAAGAGCUUUAUUCAGUCCUCUAUUUCCUCUGUGGUAAUAUUUUAAGAACAAGUUAUUGUACUCGCCGUAGAGUACAUAAGAAAACCAGAAGAGGAGGAAGCAUCAACCAAACCUCCUCCACCAGUGACUCCUUCAGAACUAGAGCCAGAAAAAGAAGUCACAGCCAGAGCAGUGCCAAUAGAUUUGCUGGUAAUUUUCCAUAUUACCACAGCAGGCUAACAUCAACUUCUUUACAAACAUUUCCAUCUUUACUUGGCACGGGAUGGGUUAACCGAUCUCUAUCACAUCUGACUUAAUCCAAUGAAUGCUUUGGCCUUCGCAAUUGUCGUUCAAUCAGGUACAUAUAUCUUGCAAUUGAAUCUUUUUAAUCUGUACACCAUGUGAACUUCAAAACAAGAACAAAAUCAGGCAGCACCAACUCAACUUCUGUUUCAGAAAUAUGGCAGGGACUGAUUUCUUUAAAUAAAUGAUGUGUAGGCUUAUGUUUCUGCGUUUCUUUCAAUACUUGUAUUACCUGUCAACAUAGAACUUUUAGCGGUUAAUAAACAAAUACUCCCUCCGUUCCUAAAUACUUAUCGCUGUGUAUUUAGGAACGGAGGGAGUAGGUUUUUGUGGACUGUGCUUGCCACAAAGUAGAUGCUAAUGGGCAUUGGAUGCAACAAUAACAAUGUUAUACGAAGUUGCUUCAAUUUUUAUGUGCUUGUUGUCAUGCUGAUAAACAUGUCAAUAUGUGAUAAUGCACUCAUAUGCCAAUUUAAGUUCUGCACAUAUACUUAAUGAGCUGUUCUUUAGCCUUGCAGGCCCCAGUAAACUACAUAUGCAUUCAUUGUGUGUAACCAAGUUUGCGGCCAUUAUCAUUGGCUAUGUCUACUGUUUCAGUCCAUAUAUUUGGCGAUGUGCCUUAGUGCCUUCUUCACCUCUUGUUCGUCUGCUUCAGGACAAAAUCCAUGAUUGGAGAGCAACAACGCAGUUUUGUUUUGGUUUAUUGGUACAGGAGUCCAGUGAAAUGCUGCCAUUGAUUAUUAGCAGGGAAUGAUGUAGUAUGGAUAUUUAAGGGUGGUGGAAUAGUACUAAACGGGCAUCAUUUUCAAGUUGCAUGUGACCUCCUGGAGUCCUGGACAAUGCAACAAAGGAGCAGCGUUGCCAUGAUAAUCUCCCGUUUUUCUUUUAUUCUGAACAAGUCCACACUGAAUUUUGCCAGGUUCUCAACUUAGGUUUGAUUUUGUAUGGUUCCUACAGAGUAAGCUGAUACUAAGGACGGCAUGGUUCUAUUUGAAUCCUAUUCAGUAUUAAGUGCAUUUGGAUUUCUUUCACUGUACUGUAUCUUUCUUUUGAUCUAUUAUUACAUGAUAGAACUUAACUUGAUC